CGCACAUUGCGCCCUUUGGCAUUCCGAAGGGCAUGCCUGUUCGAGCGUCAUUUACCCCCCUCAGGCCCCGUGCUUGAUGCUGGCGGCGUCCGGAGACGGACCUGCUCAAAGACAAUGACGGCGGUCGUGGUCCCCCCGGCACACUGAGCUUUCGGGCACGUGUCGGAUCUGGUGGCUCGGCCCCCGGUCCCUAAUAUCAAUUUAUCAAGGUUGACCUCGGAUCAGGUAGGAAUACGCGCUGAACUUAA
rnacentral:misc_RNA from 1 species